rnacentral:rRNA from 1 species
GAUGAGCGCUGGCGGCGUGCUUAACACAUGCCAGUCGAACGGAAAGGCUCCUGCUUGCAGGGGUACUCGAGUGGCGAACGGGUGAGUAACACGUGGGUGAUCUGCCCUGCACUUCGGGAUAAGCCUGGGAAACUGGGUCUAAUACCGGAUAGGACGAUGGUUUGGAUGCCAUUGUGGAAAGUUUUUCGGUGUGGGAUGAGCUCGCGGCCUAUCAGCUUGUUGGUGGGGUAAUGGCCUACCAAGGCGUCGACGGGUAGCCGGCCUGAGAGGGUGUACGGCCACAUUGGGACUGAGAUACGGCCCAGACUCCUACGGGAGGCAGCAGUGGGGAAUAUUGCACAAUGGGCGCAAGCCUGAUGCAGCGACGCCGCGUGGGGGAUGACGGCCUUCGGGUUGUAAACUCCUUUCGCUAGGGACGAAGCGCAAGUGACGGUACCUGGAGAAGAAGCACCGGCUAACUACGUG